UUUUUUGCUUUCUUGUUUAGUACAUACACUUGCUUAUAAGUUGUUUUUUCUCUGUUCUGAAUUUAUCUCCUCCAUGCAUCUCUUCUCUCAUUGCAUUUGCAUGGGUGGUGACCUUUAAGUACCUUUUCGUAUGCAUUUAGUAAGAAAAAGGAAAAUUUAAAACUCUCUGUGUUCGUCUUAAUAAUUUUCUGUCUCUUCCUUUUCUAUUGUUACAGAGUUCCAUGUAGAUCUGGCAUGUGUACCACACUGUUGCAUGUCACAUCUUCUCAGCUGAUUGCAAGUGAAAUCUUUCCUGUUACUGCAGUCAAGGCCCUCCUCUACCCCGGAAUUAGGUUUUUUUAGUUUAUGGGAUGGUGUAGGUAGAUUCUUGGAAUUUGGAAUUGGUUUUAGUGAAUUGGGUUUUAUUUGGUUUUGUGCAGGGAUAGCUUGUACGUGCUUUAGGAGUUGUGGCAUCCACAUCUCUUCUUGGAGUUCCUCUUGGACAUAACUCAUCGUUUCUUCAAGGGCCGGCCUUUGCUCAUUCAAAGAUUAGACAGGCUAUUUGGUGUGGGAGCACCAACUCAACAACUGAAGAAGUGUAUAGAUGUUGCGGUUGAUCACUCGUCGUCGGAGUGUGACCAAUUCGGCUCCCGCAUUAUUAGCAUCUACUGCUCCAGGCGCAAGUGCUCCAUUGAUUGGGGAGCCUACACCCUUUACUGAGGAUACUCUUACGACGUCCCAGGUGCCCAUCUCAUUGACGUCAUCAGUGUCGGUUCAACCACUCAAUGCACGGCGGCCUAAAGGGUCAGCUUGCAGUCCAGAGCAAGCAGAUGAGGGCCUAGGGCGAGGACAUGAAGGCCUAUGUCGGGCACAUGAGAAACUUGUACGAGCUAUACAGAUGUUUGACCUCCAAAUCUCGUUACUAGUAUCUGAUCUUGCUACACCUUUGACCAUUUCACUUUGCCGAUGCGGAGUAGCCACUUCACCUAGAAGACUUUCAAAUAUUAUAUAAUUAAUUAUUGUUUGGAUAUCUUGUAUGUACAUUUUUAUAUAUUAUAUAAUUAAAUACUUUUAUUUGGUUAA